GACGAACGCUGGCGGCGUGCUUAACACAUGCAAGUCGAACGGAAAGGCCCUGCUUUUGUGGGGUGCUCGUGUGGCGAACGGGUGAGUAACACGUGAGUAACCUGCCCUUGACUUUGGGAUAACUUCAGGAAACUGGGGCUAAUACCGGAUAGGAGCUCCUGCUGCAUGGUGGGGGUUGGAAAGUUUCGGCGGUUGGGGAUGGACUCGCGGCUUAUCAGCUUGUUGGUGGGGUAGUGGCUUACCAAGGCUUUGACGGGUAGCCGGCCUGAGAGGGUGACCGGCCACAAUGGGACUGAGAGACGGCCCAGACUCCUACGGGAGGCAGCAGUGGGGAAUAUUGCACAAUGGGCGGAAGCCUGAGGCAGCAACGCCGCGUGCGGGAUGACGGCCUUCGGGUUGUAAACCGCUUUCGCCUGUGACGAAGCGUGAGUGACGGUAAUUGGUAAAGAAGCACCGGCUAACUACGUG
rnacentral:rRNA from 1 species